AGGAGCAGCUGAGAGCAAGGGAGGACGCUUGACAAUGACUCGGGUAAUGAAGGGCCCACGCGGAUGCGCUUCUGUUAGAUGUGAGUGAUGCUGGCCUAGUACUGUCGUGUCCUAAGAAGCCUCCACGAGGACUUCGUCCCUCGUCAGCAGAACAGGUGUGGCGAGCACUUCAGACUCCCCUUCACAGUCAUUUUUCCUUUCCUAGGUAGAACCGAUAUGGAACCUGCUGUGGUCCCGGUUCAUUCCUAUCAUCAUUUCCUUAGACUUCACUUUCACUCUUAAAGAUUGCUCAAUAAUAUACCUCAUGAAUGUACCAUACCCACGCAAUCCUCUAUAAUGCUUCCGAAUGGAUAUUCUGUGUGA